rnacentral:rRNA from 1 species
GGCUCAGAUUGAACGCUGGCGGCAUGCUUUACACAUGCAAGUCGAGCGGCAGCGCGGGGGCAACCCGGGCGGCGAGCGGCGAACGGGUGAGUAACACAUCGGAACGUAUCCCGUAGAGGGGGAUAGCCCGGCGAAAGCCGGAUUAAUACCGCAUAUGCUCUACGGAGGAAAGUGGGGGACCUGCAAGGGCCUCACGUUAGGGGAGCGGCCGAUGCCCGAUCAGCUAGUUGGUGGGGUAAUGGCUUACCAAGGCUUCGAUCGGUAGCUGGUCUGAGAGGAUGAUCAGCCACACUGGGACUGAGACACGGCCCAGACUCCUACGGGAGGCAGCAGUGGGGAAUUUUGGACAAUGGGGGCAACCCUGAUCCAGCCAUGCCGCGUGCGGGAAGAAGGCCUUCGGGUCGUAAACCGCUUUUAGCCGGGAAGAAAAGGCCAUCCCUAACAGGGGUGGUUUUUGACGGUACCGGCGGAAUAAGCACCGGCUAACUACGUGCCAGCAGCCGCGGUAAUACGUAGGGUGCGAGCGUUAAUCGGAAUUACUGGGCGUAAAGCGUGCGCAGGCGGUUCGUUGUGUCGGUGGUGAAAGCCCCGGGCUUAACCUGGGAACUGCAUUUGUGACUGCAUGGCUGGAGUGCGGCAGAGGGGGAUGGAAUUCCGCGUGUAGCAGUGAAAUG